rnacentral:ncRNA from 20 species
UUUUAGAAACAAACAAUAUACAUUUGAUGAUUAUAAAGAAAUUUUUAACUUUGCAUUUAUGACUGAUUUAUCAAUCUCAAAUAUGACAUAGUGCUAAUUUUGAUUUAAGUAAACUCCAAAUCGGUAAUCGCUGAAGUAUUAAAACAGUUAGUGGUUUUACAAAUUAUUCUGUCUCUAAUCAGUACAUUAUAAAGAUUGCUAUAAAAAAGAACUGUUGAUGAAAAUUGAGGAGAUAAUUAUAGCAGCAAAAUGUGCUAAAGCAUUAAUCUAAUGAUCAAUUUUAUAUUGCAGUUAUGUAUUGGUACGUCAACGUGAUGCAUCUUUAGAUUGUUUAGGAAUAAAUUAGG